GUAACACGUAGGUGAUCUACCUUUUAGUGGGGAAUAACUCGGGGAAACUCGGGCUAAUACCGCAUAAGUAUAACAAUCUUGAAAGUAGUUAUAGAAAGAGGGCCAAUCCUUGGAAGCUCUCGCUGAAAGAUGAGCCUGCGCGACAUUAGCUUGUUGGUGGGGUAAUGGCCUACCAAGGCGACGAUGUCUAGCCGGUCUGAGAGGAUGAUCGGCCACACUGGAACUGAGACACGGUCCAGACUCC
rnacentral:rRNA from 1 species